rnacentral:rRNA from 1 species
CUUUGGGCAGCUAAGGCUCUUAAAUUUGGUCAUAGAUGGACUGUAGGAAAAGGAACCAAGAUCAGGUUUUGGGAAGACAAUUGGUUUGGCGCCUCCCCUUUAUCUGUUCAAUUUUGGCCUCUAUAUUCUAUUUGUCACCAACAGUGUGUGUCUGCAGCUGAUGUUUGGGAUGGUCAAAACAGCAAACUUACUUUUUGUAGGAUCUUUAACCCUGCCAUGAUGGAAGAUCGGUACUGCCUAGAGCAGAUCAUCUUGGGAAUUGCCUAUACUGAUUGUGAAGAUGCUCUCAUUUGGCAAUAUAUGAACUAA